GAUUGAAAUCAUAGUGAUUGUUCUAUGAUGACUACCCACUAUGUGACAUAAAUAAAAUGGCCUGAGUCCCAUUGAAUCAAUUCUUGAAUGUUUUAGAAUGAAGGAUGAUGCCCUAGGUCUGGCUGAAGCUGCAGAGACCUUUCCAGAAGUGAUAUCGGUGGCCUGAACAGAAAGAUGCUCCAGCUGAGAGCUAUGAGAUGCCAUUGAGCUCUGUUCCCUUCCGAACCUGGCCUUUGCCGAGGACCUGCUUUUCCAUGUGGAGAAAGGAGAGAAUUCAUUCAUUGAUUGAAAGACUUCUAUUAAUAAAUGCUUACCAGAUAUGGAUCUUCUCUGGACAUUUGAAACCAAAAUCAAUUGCUUAAGGAUUUUUUUUUACAA